UACGUAGGGGGCUAGCGUUGUCCGGAAUUAUUGGGCGUAAAGAGCUCGUAGGCGGUCUGUUGCGUCUGCUGUGAAAACUCGGGGCUUAACCCCGAGCCUGCAGUGGAUACGGGGCAGACUAGAGGUAGGUAGGGGGAGAAUGGAAUUCCCGGUGUAGCGGUGAAAAUGCGCAGAUAUCGGGAGGAACACCGGUGGCGAAGGCGGUUCUCUGGGCCUUACCUGACGCUGAGGAGCGAAAACGUGGG
rnacentral:rRNA from 1 species